rnacentral:rRNA from 1 species
AACAGAGGGUGCAAACGUUGUUCGGAAUUACUGGGCGUAAAGCGUGUGUAGGCGGCCAUAUAAGUCGGAUGUGAAAGCCCUGGGCUCAACCCAGGAAGUGCACUCGAUACUGUAUGGCUAGAGUACUGGAGAGGUUGGUGGAAUUCUCGGUGUAGAGGUGAAAUGCGCAGAUAUCAGGAGGAACACCAGUGGCGAAGGCGCCACUCUGGGCCGUAACUGACGCUGAGGAGCGAAAGCGUGGGUAGCAAACAGG